rnacentral:lncRNA from 1 species
GGAAAAGGCCGCUCGCUCGAGAUUGCGCGCAGACCGGAUCUCACUACGUUGCCCAGGAUGGUCUUGAACUCCUGGACUCAAGCAAGCCUCUUGCCUCGGCCUCCUAAAAAGCUGGGAUGACAGGCAUGAGUCACCGUGCCCAGUCUUCAUUCUUUAAAUAUUUGGUAGAAUUCAUCAGUGAAGCCAUCUCAUCCGGGGCUUUUCUUUGUUGACAGAUUUUUUAUUACUGAUUCAAUCUCAUUCUAACUAUAGGUUUGUUCACAUUUUCUUUUACUUUAUGAUUCAGUCUUGAUAAAUUGUAUUUUUCUAGGAAUUUAUCCAUUUCUUCUAGGUUAUCCAAUUUGUUAGUGUACAGUUGUUCAUAGUAUUCUCUUAUCCUAUUUAUUUCUGUGACUUUGAUUGUAAUGUUCUGAUUUUGGUUAUUUGAGUAUUUCUUUUUUUCUUAAUUUAGCUACAGGUUGUCAAUGC